rnacentral:rRNA from 1 species
CCUACGGGUGGCAGCAGUGGGGAAUAUUGCGCAAUGGGCGAAAGCCUGACGCAGCGACGCCGCGUGAGGGAUGAAGGUCUUCGGAUCGUAAACCUCUGUCAGCAGGGAAGAACGGUCACUGUGCUAAUCAGCAGUGCAUUGACGGUACCUGCAAAGGAAGCACCGGCUAACUCCGUGCCAGCAGCCGAGGUAAUACGGAGGGUGCGAGCGUUAAUCGGAAUUACUGGGCGUAAAGCGCUCGUAGGCGGUAUGGCAAGUCAAGGGUGAAAUCCCCGCGCUCAACGUGGGAACUGCCGUUGAAACGGGCAAAGUGGAGUGUGGGAGAGGAUAGUGGAAUGCCAGGUGUAGGAGUGAAAUCCGUAGAUAUCUGGAGGAACAUCAGUGGCGAAGGCGACUAUCUGGCACAUAACUGACGCUGAGGAGCGAAAGCGUGGGUAGCAAACAGGAUUAGAUACCCCUGUAGUC